rnacentral:tRNA from 1 species
AGGAUAGUAGUUAAGUAUAACAUUUGAUUUGCAUUCAAAAGGUGUUGGUUAUUCAACUUAUCUU